GAUAGUUCUUGAUGACAAAGUGACACUUCCCUUGUUUCUUUUGAUUGAGAGAGGCCUGGGACUUUCAUUAGUCCCUGAUUAGAGUUUUCAAGGAGUCCAACUAUUGAUUGCAUAAAAUUCCUUUCCUGUCAUUUUCUGUAAGUGUACACAAUAGCUACUAACACAUCCUCCUCCAGAGCCCACACUUUGUUUUCCAGGAGGAAGACAGAUACUCGGCUAGCAACCUGACCUUUAGAAUUCCUACGUUUUAAAAGAGAAUCGUCUGUUACUUAAAGAUUUUCUUCUACCUACAACAGAGCUGAUAUUUAGAACUGAAAUUUCCUAGUAAUUAUAGCACAUUUGGAACUAUUAUCUUCCAUGUACAGUAAAGUAAACUGAGGCCCUGGGAAAUGAAGCACUUUAGUUUUAAAAGCUGGUAAAGUCUACUGCUACACCCUGCCGGUGUCCACAGCUGUGGCUGAGCCAUACAGCUCCAUCCUGACCACUCACUCACACCAACCUAG
rnacentral:lncRNA from 1 species